AUUGAACGCUGGCGGCAGGCCUAACACAUGCAAGUCGAACGAGUGGCGGACUGGUGAGUAAUGUCUGGGAAACUGCCUGAUGGAGGGGGAUAACUACUGGAAACGGUAGCUAAUACCGCAUACCAUCGGAUGUGCCCAGAUGGGAUUAGCUAGUGGGUGGGGUAAAGGCUCACCUAGGCGACGAUCCCUAGCUGGUCGGAGAGGAUGACCGGCCACACUGGGACUGAGACACGGUCCAGACUCCUACGGGAGGCAGCAGUGGGGAAUAUUGCGCAAUGGGCGCAAGCCUGAUGCAGCCACGCCGCGUGUAUGAAGAAGGCCUUCGGGUCGUAAAGUACUUUCGGCAGGGAGGCGUUACCCAAAGAAGAAGCACCGGCUAACUCCGUGCCAGCAGCCGCGGUAAUAC
rnacentral:rRNA from 1 species